rnacentral:rRNA from 1 species
UACGAAGGGGGCUAGCGUUGCUCGGAAUCACUGGGCGUAAAGCGCACGUAGGCGGCUUUCUAAGUCAGAGGUGAAAUCCCGGGGCUCAAACCCGGAACUGCCUUUGAUACUGGAGAGCUUGAGUUCGGGAGAGGUGAGUGGAACUGCGAGUGUAGAGGUGAAAUUCGUAGAUAUUCGCAAGAACACCAGUGGCGAAGGCGGCUCGCUGGACUGAUACUGACGCUCAGGUGCGAAAGCGUGGGGAGCAAACAGG